AUGAAAUUGACAUAUCCAACGUUCGCUUCUCCUCUUAUCUACUUACUCUUCCUAGCAUCAGAAGCUCUCGCCGCAGCAACCAUGUCCGCUAGCUGCUCGUCCACCUGGUCUUCAGCAGGCAACAACCAAAUAUGCGCCAAGUCGCCACCCGUACCAUCGCCUGUGGGUCUCAUCACACCCCCACCGGCACGCGCACCGCAACCGGUUUCUCAUCGCAACCCGCUGCCUUUGGUGUGGUGCCACUGCUGCAAAUCACGCAGAGUCAUCCGUCGCGUCUCAACCACAAUCCUCAACCCUGGCCGAGUCUUCUACAAAUGCCCGAAUCAUGGGGUAAUAAUAUGUUUAAGUGUUGUUCUGCUACUUUCAGUUGCUAAUUUUUUAAUAGUUUGGUUGAUGAUCUUCCAAUUUGAUUCAUGUAGAAAAGGGAAGAUUCGUGUGAUUUGUAUUUCUGGGAAGUUGCUGAUGUGGGGGAGUGCAACUACGCUGAUUAUUUGGUUAGCCGAGGAAUCCCAAUACCAGUAG
rnacentral:rRNA from 1 species